AACGAACGCUGGCGGCAUGCCUAACACAUGCAAGUCGAACGAGACCUUCGGGUCUAGUGGCGCACGGGUGCGUAACACGUGGGAAUUUGCCUCGGGGUAUGGAAUAACUCAGGGAAACUUGAGCUAAUACCAUAUAAUGUCUUCGGACCAAAGAUUUAUCGCCCUGAGAUAAGCCCGCGUAGGAUUAGCUAGUUGGUGGGUAAAGGCUCACCAAGGCGACGAUCCUUAGCUGGUCUGAGAGGAUGAUCAGCCACACUGGGACUGAGACACGGCCCAGACUCCUACGGGAGGCAGCAGUGGGGAAUAUUGGGACAAUGGGCGAAAGCCUGUAGUCCAAGGCAAUGCCGCGUGAGUGAUGAAGG
rnacentral:rRNA from 1 species